rnacentral:lncRNA from 1 species
UUUCUGCGGGUUCUACGAGAAACGUUCCCGCUGUGAUUUUGAUCUUAGGUGAAGGUUGCUUGGCGUUACCCAUGGAGUAUUACUGAAGUUUAUUUCAAUACGAUCUAGUCGCGGAACGUUUUUCAUAGGUUUUUCGAGAGGAUUCUCAUGACACAUUUGUUUCUUGAAAGAAUUGGUCAACCAGAAGUGGAACUAGCUAACCAUCGGGAGGAAAGUGCUUCUUUUAAUGUGCACGAUGCUACAUAUAUUCUCGAGUUUUCUUCGUCGCAAAUGUUUUCGAUACUUUUCCGUGACUUACUUGGUACAACGGAAACUGAAAGAAAUGCUUUGGUGAUUGAAGAUUUCUCGUAGAAAAUUUUAAAACGAAACUGGCUUUCUGAAGCCGGAAAAGGCUUCAAUACUUUGGCUAAUCGUCGAGUUUCAGUUUGAUAUUGGUACAAGAUUUCUGUACGCAUGAUUGCGACAAGAAAUGAUGUGUAGUUUUUGAGAUUAUGUUCAUGAUCGUCUGGAUAUGUUGCUAGCGUUUAGACAAAUAUUAAGAUUGUCGUUUGCCUAUUCUUGACGAUUUGCAGAAGUUUUUUGAAGUUUUGGGAGUACACGAGUAUAGUAUACGUACCUACUCCCCCCCUUUUUUCUUUUUUUUUUUACGAAAGAAAACGGUUGAACCGAUACUUUGAAGGGUUGUGCACGUUUCCUCUUCUGAUGUUUGGAGUGAUCGAUAAUUCGGGACGAUUUAUAGACGACGCUUGGACUGUGAUUUGGUUGUUUUCCACGUUGACGACUUGGGAUAUGUCGGUUCCGAGAAAAUUGCCAGAAACGAAUCGGUUUUAAGGCGACGUUCAUGUCUCUAACUUUUUUUCUCUUUAGGAAGCGAGCUUGAUAUGCGUGGCGAUCGUUUCUCGACUUUUGGAGAGUUAGAUCGGUUUGCAAGAUCUGGAUGAACAAUUAUGGAACAAUAUAUCGAGACAGGAAAAAUCGCUUAAAACUUAGUUCGCUAGACUAUCCGCCUAGGUUUUACAUUUCCUAAAGUUCUAUGGCAGCCUCAAAGUAAUUUCCUACGAAAAUUCCAAGUCUGAUUUCAAAAAUUUCAAGUCGGAAAUACCUUAGUUCUCUCGAAGAUGCAGUUUUGUCCCUUCUCAGUUUUGCGUGCUCAUUUCCGUUUCCUAUUCUCGUGUAUGUUCGCCAUUUCCGAUAUUGGUGUUUAUCCUUUGAAACUUGACAUUUAUCUUCCGAACUUGACUGUUAUCUUCUCCUAGAUAAGACGUCGAUUUUUGUAAAAAGGUUCAACGUAAUCGUAUAGUUAAGGCGGCUAAGGUGUUAAGUUAACCGUUGCCGUUUUAUACGAUUAAUCUGAAUCCAUGCGAGAAAAUAGGUCUUUGCGGUUUUUUUUUUAUAUCAUAAAGUCUCAAUGGUAACUUCAAUCGAGGCGAAACAAGAGACGUUUCGAUCGAGAUUCGAAAGUGAACGCAAAGAUGGAGGUAGGGUGAGCAGAAACAAGCCAAGGAGUUUAAGAUGAGUUUUACUUGUUUUUGUCGUAAAAUCUCAACGGAAACUCCGAUUGAGACGAAACGAAAAGCGUUUCGAUGAGGAUUCAAAGGAGAACGCAAAGGAGGACCCCUUUGAGGCCUGAAUGGUCGCUAUAACGAGUGAGGAUGUCAUCUCGGUCGCUAUAGCGAGUGGAAGGGAGCCGAGACGAGUCCAACUUGUUUUCGUUGUAAAAUCUCAACGGAAACUCCGAUUGAGAUGAAACGAAAAGCGUGGCGAUGAGGAUUCACAAGAGAACCCAAAGGAGGACCUUUCUGAGGCCUUACCGGUCGCUACGUAGCGACUGACGGCCUGACAGGUCGCUACGUAGCGAGUGGAAGCAAGCCAAGAAGAGUCCUACUU